rnacentral:rRNA from 1 species
CCUACGGGAGGCAGCAGUGGGGAAUAUUGCACAAUGGGGGAAACCCUGAUGCAGCGACGCCGCGUGAGUGAGGAAGUAUUUCGGUAUGUAAAGCUCUAUCAGCAGGGAAGAAAAUGACGGUACUUGUCCAAGAAGCCGCGGCUAACUACGUGCAAGCAGCCGCGGUAAUACGUAGGGGGCAAGCGUGAUCCGGAUGGACUGGGUGUAAUGGGAGCGUAGGCGGCGAAUUAAGUCAGAAGUGAAAACCCAGGGCUGAAACUAGGGGCUGCUUUUGAAACUGAGUAGCUUGAGUGCAGGAGAGGUAAGCGGAAUUCCUAGUGUAGCGGUGAAAUGCGUAGAGAUUAGGAGGAACACCAGUGGCGAAGGCGGCUUACUGGACUGUAACUGACGUUGAGGCUCGAAAGCGUGGGGAGCAAACAGGAUUAGAUACCCGAGUAGUC